GGACGUGCUCGUCCACACGUGGUACUUGUCGGCAGAUUUCCAACUCUUUCUGGUCGCUCUUCCGACCCUUCGGAUAUUGAGAGGUCGCAAGAUGGCGCUCGUGGCAGCGUUCUCUGUGCUUUCGGUGCUUGGCUGUGCCAUCGGAACAUGGGUCGUGGCGCGCAAUCAUCUGCUGCCUUUUAUGAUCUUUCCCGGCCCUGACGUCCCUUUGCUGACGAGAACACAGAGCGAAUACUACAUUCGGCCGUACUAUCACGCAGUCUGCUAUUUUAGCGGCUGCAUGACGUUUCUCUUGAUGGAAGACUUUAGGAAGAGAAAUAUCACUAAGGUA